GGCUCGUUGGUCUAGGGGUAUGAUUCUCGCUUAGGGUGCGAGAGGUCCCGGGUUCAGUUCCCGGACGAGCCC
rnacentral:tRNA from 1 species